ACCUACGGGGGGCAGCAGUGAGGAAUAUUGGUCAAUGGUCGGGAGACUGAACCAGCCAAGCCGCGUGAGGGAGAAAGGUACAGAGUAUCGUAAACCUCUUUUGUCAGGGAACAAAGGCGGGGACGUGUCCCCGGAUGAGUGUACCUGAAGAAAAAGCAUCGGCUAACUCCGUGCCAGCAGCCGCGGUAAUACGGAGGAUGCGAGCGUUAUCCGGAUUUAUUGGGUUUAAAGGGUGCGCAGGCGGUCUGUUAAGUCAGCGGUCAAAGCCCGGGGCUCAACCCCGGCCCGCCGUUGAAACUGGCAGG
rnacentral:rRNA from 1 species